rnacentral:rRNA from 1 species
UCGGAGUUAGUGGCGGACGGGUGAGUAACACGUGGGAACGUGCCUUUAGGUUCGGAAUAACUCAGGGAAACUUGUGCUAAUACCGAAUGUGCCCUUCGGGGGAAAGAUUUAUCGCCUUUAGAGCGGCCCGCGUCUGAUUAGCUAGUUGGUGAGGUAAAGGCUCACCAAGGCGACGAUCAGUAGCUGGUCUGAGAGGAUGAUCAGCCACAUUGGGACUGAGACACGGCCCAAACUCCUACGGGAGGCAGCAGUGGGGAAUCUUGCGCAAUGGGCGAAAGCCUGACGCAGCCAUGCCGCGUGAAUGAUGAAGGUCUUAGGAUUGUAAAAUUCUUUCACCGGGGACGAUAAUGACGGUACCCGGAGAAGAAGCCCCGGCUAACUUCGUGCCAGCAGCCGCGGUAAUACGAAGGGGGCUAGCGUUGCUCGGAAUUACUGGGCGUAAAGGGAGCGUAGGCGGACAUUUAAGUCAGGGGUGAAAUCCCGGGGCUCAACCUCGGAAUUGCCUUUGAUACUGGGUGUCUUGAGUAUGAGAGAGGUGUGUGGAACUCCGAGUGUAGAGGUGAAAUUCGUAGAUAUUCGGAAGAACACCAGUGGCGAAGGCGACACACUGGCUCAUUACUGACGCUGAGGCUCGAAAGCGUGGGGAGCAAACAGGAUUAGAUACCCUGGUAGUCCACGCCGUAAACGAUGAUUGCUAGUUGUCGGGAUGCAUGCAUUUCGGUGACGCAGCUAACGCAUUAAGCAAUCCGCCUGGGGAGUACGGUCGCAAGAUUAAAACU